rnacentral:rRNA from 1 species
UGGGGAAUUUUGCACAAUGGGGGAAACCCUGAUGCAGCGACGCCGCGUGAUUUAGAAGGCCUUCGGGUUGUAAAAAUCUUUUCUAUGGGAAGAAAAUGACAGUACCAUAGGAAUAAGGACUGGCUAAUUACGUGCCAGCAGCCGCGGUAAUACGUAAGGUCCGAGCGUUGUCCGGAAUCAUUGGGCGUAAAGGGUACGUAGGCGGGUAAGCAAGUUAGAAGUGAAAUCCUGUAGCUCAACUACAGUAAGCUUUUAAAACUGCUCAUCUUGAGAUAUGGAAGGGAAAGUGGAAUUCCUAGUGUAGCGAUGAAAUGCGCAGAUAUUAGGAGGAAUACCGGUGGCGAAGGCGACUUUCUGGCCAUAAUCUGACGCUGAGGUACGAAAGCGUGGGUAGCAAACAGG